rnacentral:tRNA from 1 species
AGUUAAUGAGCUUGUAUAAGCGUGUAACUUGAAAUUACAAGAAAGAUAAAUAAUUCUAUUAACUU